rnacentral:rRNA from 1 species
GACCUCAAAUCGGGUGGGACUACCCGCUAAACUUAAGCAUAUCAAUAAGCGGAGGAAAAGAAACUAACAAGGAUUCCCCUAGUAACGGCGAGUGAAGAGGGAAAAGCUCAAAUUUUGAAUCUGGUGUCUUUGACUCCCGAGUUGUAAUCUAGAGAAGUGUUUUCCGUGUCGGACCGUGCACAAGUUCCCUGGAACGGGGCGUCAUAGAGGGUGAGAAUCCCGUAUAUGGCACGGACCGCCGAUGCUCUGUGAUACACUCUCAACGAGUCGAGUUGUUUGGGAAUGCAGCUCAAAAUGGGUGGUAAAUUCCAUCUAAAGCUAAAUAUUGGCGAGAGACCGAUAGCGAACAAGUACCGUGAGGGAAAGAUGAAAAGCACUUUGGAAAGAGAGUGAAACAGUACGUGAAAUUGUUGAAAGGGAAGCGUUUGAAGUCAG